UUUGUACUUUAUGGUUCUCCAUUGAUCUACUCCAUCCAAUGGUUUUGUUCCAUUUAGAUUACCGCCGACCAUUGACACAAGUGUGGGAAACCAGUCUGAGACGUGGAUUAGGUCUCGUGAAACGAUUCCUUUCCUCUUCAACAUCUGACCAUGAACAAACCCUACUCCAUGAACACCUCCUUCCCAGAGAGAGUUUUUCCAUCCUCUCAGGGGAUAGUUAUUCCCUCCUGCAUGAAUUUGUCCCCCAUUAUCUGUAAAAUACAACAAAAAAUGUGAAAAUUUCAUAUUAUCUAAGAGAUUUCAUUGACCUGAAAGGUAAAACCUUUAAAUGACUGAUCAGGCAUAAUUAAUUAAGACGGUUCAUUCCAACGUAGCUGUUACUCCUUCAUGACUUACAAGUAUACAAAAGGAACUCCAUUCUCCAUUGAUCUACUCCAUCCAAUGGUUGUGUUCCUUUUGGAUUACCAUCAACCAUCGACAUGUGCAAGUGUGGGCAACCAGUUUGAAACGUGGAUUAGGUCUCGUGAAACUACUCCUUUCCUCUUCAACAUAUGACCAUGAACAA